GAUGAACGCUGGCGGCGUGCUUAACACAUGCAAGUCGAACGAUGAAGCCCAGCUUGCUGGGUGGAUUAGUGGCGAACGGGUGAGUAACACGUGAGUAACCUGCCCUUAACUCUGGGAUAAGCCUGGGAAACUGGGUCUAAUACCGGAUAGGAGCGCCUACCGCAUGGUGGGUGUUGGAAAGAUUUAUCGGUUUUGGAUGGACUCGCGGCCUAUCAGCUUGUUGGUGAGGUAAUGGCUCACCAAGGUGACGACGGGUAGCCGGCCUGAGAGGGUGACCGGCCACACUGGGACUGAGACACGGCCCAGACUCCUACGGGAGGCAGCAGUGGGGAAUAUUGCACAAUGGGCGAAAGCCUGAUGCAGCGACGCCGCGUGAGGGAUGACGGCCUUCGGGUUGUAAACCUCUUUCAGUAGGGAAGAAGCGAAAGUGACGGUACCUGCAGAAGAAGCACCGGCUAACUACGUG
rnacentral:rRNA from 1 species